UGAGGAAUCUUGCGCAAUGGGGGAAACCCUGACGCAGCAACGCCGCGUGAGUGAUGAAGGCCUUCGGGUCGUAAAGCUCUGUCUAGUGGGAAGAACCCGCUGUGUCCAAAUAGGGCAUGGCGCUGACGGUACCACUGAAGGAAGCACCGGCUAACUCCGUGCCAGCAGCCGCGGUAAUACGGAGGGUGCAAGCGUUAUUCGGAUUUAUUGGGCGUAAAGAGCACGUAGGCGGCCAUCUAAGUCAGAUGUGAAAGCCCGGAGCUCAACUCCGGAAGUGCAUUUGAUACUGGAUGGCUUGAGUAUGGGAGAGGGAAGUGGAAUUCCUGGUGUAGAGGUGAAAUUCGUAGAUAUCAGGAGGAACAUCGGUGGCGAAGGCGACUUCCUGGACCAAUACUGACGCUCAGGUGCGAAGGCGUGGGGAGCAAACA
rnacentral:rRNA from 1 species